rnacentral:lncRNA from 1 species
CGCUGGUGGAGUCGAGCUGCUGCUCUGCUGCCGGCUGCUGGUGAAGGCGAGCUGGUGCCCGCACGCGCCCAGGGGAGCUGCUGCCGCUGAAGCACUCACCGCACACAGGAGCUGCUGCCGCUGAAGUACUCCCCGCUGCAUAGGAGCUGCUGGCCUAGGUUCAUCUCCUCGCCCAGUACCCGCUCUGCAUCAAUUUGAUGAUCAUAAGCAAUCAGAUGAUCAUAAACUAAGACUUGCUCAUAUGAGUAAACAAUUUGAUGAUCAUAAACAAGAGUAAUUCAAAGAAAUAUUUGUUGCCAAUAAUUCAAGACAAGAGUAAUUCAAGAGAUAAUUGCUGCCAAUGAUUCGAGUGAAUACUCCAUCAGAAUUUGUUCAAAUUAUUGGGAUGACGACGGAUAGACGACAUGUAAUUAACCUGGGGAGAAAAGGCCACCAGUAACCAUGAGUUCAUGUAUUGGUUUUGAUCUCAGGAAGCAAGGUUUUGAUUUCUUACAACAUGCCACUACUCUAGGAGAAAAUUUUGGUAUCUCAUGAAGAAAUUAUGAGGUUUACUCUGCCAAUAGCCCUGAUCUGAAUGGCCUUGACCUUGGGUUCUUCAACUCGUUGCAAUCUCUAACAGAUUGUCUAAGCCCUAGAACGCUUCAAGAUCUUAUCAAGGGUGUGCUAGAUGAAUUUGAAAACUAUGAGGUUUACAAGCUGAACAGAGUUUUCCUAUCUCUACAAGCUUGCAUGGUUGAAAUCUUGAACCAUGCAGGGGGCAAUGGGUAUAAAAUACCCCAUGCGAACAAGGAAAGGCUAGAGAACCUUGGGAUGCUACCUCCAAGACUUACAUGCCCUCCAGAGGUAUAUGCAAAUGCCCUGCACAAUCUUGGGAUAAUGGAGAGAGUUGCUUGUUGAGUUGCUUGUUGAGAUGCUUGAGGAGUUGCUUGUUGAGUUGCUUGUCGAGAUGCUUGAGGAGUUGCUUGUUGAGAUGCUUGAGGAGUUGCUUGUUGAGUUGCUUGUCGAGAUGCUUGUCGAGAUGCUUGAGGAGUUGCUUGUUGAGAUGCUUGAGGAGUUGCUUGUUGAGUUGCUUGUCGAGAUGCUUGUCGAGAUGCUAGUUGAGAUGCUUGAGGAGUUGCUUGUUGAGAUGCCUGUCGAGAUGCUUGUUGAGAUGCUUGAGGAGUUGCUUGUUGAGAUGCUUGUCGAGUUGCUUGUUAAGAUGCUUGUGAUUAUUUGUGUGGAGUAUGUGUAACUCCUUGUUUGUGUGGAGUAUGAGUAACCCUAGAGAUGUGGCUUGUGUGGAGUAUAUGUAACUCCUUGAGAAGAGACUUGUGUGGAGUGCAUCAUUUGUAUGAUCAUUUUCGGAAACCCCAUGUGAAAUUACUCCAUAUGUUUGCAAAAGGCUUCUAUGGACUGGAUUUUACUCCAUACAUAUGAUCAUUUUUGUUUGAAAAGUUUCAUUUAAUUUUGUGUGGAGUACAUCAUUUGUGUGAUCAUUUUUUUUAAUUAAGAGAGAAGAGGAGAGGGCACUGGAAG